AACAGAAGGCUCAAUAAAAUUUAGUAAUUUCCAUAUCACUUUCUGGAAUGAUAUAGUCAUUUAUCAAAUAUUUGCACGCUCGAACAAUAGGGAAUGGUUGAGAAUAUACACAACCCAGCACAAUAGUAACCCAAAUAUAUUUAAAAUUUGAAAACUUUUGAAAAGAAAAAGAAAAGAAAAUAAAAGCUAAAGGCAGAAUAAACCUGCUCAUCCAUCACAUUUCCCUCAG
rnacentral:lncRNA from 1 species